rnacentral:rRNA from 1 species
UACGUAGGGGGCAAGCGUUGUCCGGAUUUAUUGGGCGUAAAGAGCGUGUAGGCGGCCUGGUAGGUCAGUUGUGAAAACUCGAGGCUCAACCUCGAGACGCCGAUUGAAACCACCAGGCUAGAGUCCGGAAGAGGAGAGUGGAAUUCCCGGUGUAGCGGUGAAAUGCGCAGAUAUCGGGAAGAACACCCGUGGCUAAGGCGGCUCUCUAGUACGGUACUGACGCUGAGACGCGAAAGCGUGGGGAGCGAACAGG